rnacentral:misc_RNA from 1 species
UAUUAGUCAAUAUCAGAAGUGCAGUGAAAUAGCAUUAGUGGGGGUCUCCAAAUAUACUGUGACUUGGAUUUUGAGUUUUAAUCUAUUUGGGAGGAGAGAUAAACUUGAAGGCGGAGCAGGAUGUGGCAAGAGAUAGCGCUUCUGCUGCUCCUUGUCGCUCGGACCUGGGCUGGCCAGAUCGUCGGGAACUGUGAGUUGUAGACAUGCAUGGUUCGACUAUUACACCACAAUCCUACGUGUCUACAUGAUCGACCUAACGACGGAUCAACUGACGUUCCACCUGAACUCCCUGCUGGAGAGGUUCCAGUUCCCGCACCCCGAGGACCACAUCCACCGCGCCC